GGGGAUGUAAAGGUUUCGACGGGGCCGCCAUCCCCAGGACAAGCGAGCCGUAGUUGCCGAGUCUACGCUAAAAGCGGCACGUUAAAGAUAAACGGAAAAACUAAGACUAAUUUCGCACUAGCCGCUUGAUUGCGGCCCGCGACGUCGGCCUGAGUCCACCUACAGGCACAGAACCCGACGCAAGAAUGUAGGAAAACUCUG
rnacentral:tmRNA from 1 species